rnacentral:rRNA from 1 species
GUGGGGAUCUUGCGCAAUGGGCGAAAGCCUGACGCAGCCAUGCCGCGUGAAUGAUGAAGGUCUUAGGAUUGUAAAAUUCUUUCACCGGGGACGAUAAUGACGGUACCCGGAGAAGAAGCUCCGGCUAACUUCGUGCCAGCAGCCGCGGUAAUACGAAGGGGGCUAGCGUUGCUCGGAAUUACUGGGCGUAAAGGGCGCGUAGGCGGACAGCUUAGUCAGAGGUGAAAGCCCAGGGCUCAACCUUGGAAUUGCCUUUGAUACUGGCUGUCUUGAGUUUGGGAGAGGUGAGUGGAACUCCGAGUGUAGAGGUGAAAUUCGUAGAUAUUCGGAAGAACACCAGUGGCGAAGGCGACUCACUGGCCCAAUACUGACGCUGAGGCGCGAAAGCGUGGGGAGCAAACAGGAUUAGAAACCCCGGUAGUCC